GCUUACUAGCUCAAUUGGUAGAGCGUGGGACUCUUAAUCUCAAGGCUGGGAGUUCGAUCCCUCCGUAAGGUUAGAGCU
rnacentral:tRNA from 1 species